GGGAAGCCCGCGUGCACGACAAAACAACUACCGAGGGAGAACGGAGUUGACAGCUGGUUAAUAUUUAGUGCAUGUGUACACUGCGUCUGUCUGGAGGGAGAAGGAGCGGGAGGAGAUGACUGGGAGGAGCAGACUGGCCGAGAAUGGAGAGGCGAAAAAGGCAUGAAAAUCAAGAUGGUGGCAGCUGUGUCGACUGGUGGUGAGACUGGAGGAACCUUUGUGAACCAGUCAUCUCAUCGUCCUCAGCCUAGAGCGAUGCCACUUUGUAGAAUGAGACCCUUCUCCUGACACAGGGAGGGUAGUCCUCCCCCAACCUUAGCAACCCGGACUCCCUACCUACCUACCUACCUACCUACC
rnacentral:lncRNA from 1 species